AGCUUUGCACAGUAGCAAUAUCAUAGCCAAUGAGGUUUAUCUGAGGCGCAGUCAUUGCUAAUUGAAAACUUUAAAGGACUAAAUCU
ensembl:snRNA U4 U4 spliceosomal RNA